AAGUCGUAACAAGGUAACCGUAGGUGAACCUGCGGUUGGAUCAUUAAAAAAAAGGACCAUUGCCUCUCACAGCAGUGAAAGUUGGCUGGUGGUAUCCACAUCUUGUGAACCGUCCCGUCUUUGGUGGUGGGGUGGCCGCUGCUCACCGCAGCGUGUCAUCUGUCAGCCCGGAUCCGCGUGGUCCGAGCCGUGGACAAGCCACCGCAUGCUUUUUCAAACCCUUUGUUUUGUUCUUGGACUUACAUUUUUGUUGUAUUUAAUUACAAACAACUUUUGGCAACGGAUCUCUUGGUUCUC
rnacentral:misc_RNA from 1 species